GCACAAUCUAAUACAAUAUCAGAGAAAUAUCAUGUUCGAAUUCCUCAGAGAGAAAGUGAGCAGGUGGUUUUAUAUCAUGGGAAAAAUAUGCAAAUUCUUACCUAAAUUUGGACAAGAAAUUUAACUCUCAUCUAACAGAUUCAGUAAUUUCUCAACUCGGAUCAGCAACAUCAUAUGCAGCUCCUCUUGCGUCUGUCUGGUCAGACUCUACAUGCCCCAACUCAUUCUCAGGGAAAACCUCAGCUUGCAGAGAAGGAACAAUGUUAUUGACAUGCAACCAUGUCAGUUCCCACAAGCUAUCUCCACCGAGAGCACCCCUCUGAACGAGUACCCCCUUAGAUUUCAUUACAACCAAGGUGUUCUUAAGAAGUUCAGGGACUAGCUCCUGAAGUUUUUCACUCUUCUUACCUCUG
rnacentral:misc_RNA from 1 species